CCUACGGGAGGCAGCAGUGAGGAAUAUUGGUCAAUGGACGAGAGUCUGAACCAGCCAAGUAGCGUGAAGGAUGACUGCCCUAUGGGUUGUAAACUUCUUUUAUAAAGGAAUAAAACGAGGCACGUGUGCCUUUUUGCAUGUACUUUAUGAAGAAGGAUCGGCUAACUCCGUGCCAGCAGCCGCGGUAAUACGGAGGAUCCGAGCGUUAUCCGGAUUUAGUGGGUUUAAAGGGAGCGUAGAUGGGUUGUUAAGUCAGUUGUGAAAGUUUGCGGCUCAACCGUAAAAUUGCAAUUGAUACUGGCAGUCUUGAGUACAGUUGAGGUAGGCGGAAUUCGUGGUGUAGCGGUGAAAUGCGUAGAUAUCACGAAGAACCCCGAUUGCGAAGGCAGCUUACUAAACUGUGACUGACAUUGAUGCUCGAAAGUGUGGGUAUCAAACAGGAUUAGAUACCCGUGUAGUC
rnacentral:rRNA from 1 species